rnacentral:tRNA from 1 species
GCAAUGGUGGCUCAGUGGUGGAAUUCUCACCUUCCAUGCAGGAGACCCAGGUUCGAUUCCUGGCCAGUGUA